rnacentral:rRNA from 1 species
ACGGCUCAGUAACACGUGGAUAACCUGCCCUAAGGAAGGGGAUAACCUCGGGAAACUGAGGAUAAUACCCUAUAGGGUACCGAUGCUGGAAUGCCCGGUAUCCCAAAGCUCCGGCGCCUUAGGAUGGAUCUGCGGCCGAUUAGGUCGUUGUUGGGGUAACGGCCCAACAAGCCGAUAAUCGGUACGGGUUGUGGGAGCAAGAGCCCGGAGUUGGAUUCUGAGACACGAAUCCAGGCCCUACGGGGCGCAGCAGGCGCGAAAACUUUACAAUGCGGGCAACCGUGAUAAGGGAACCUCGAGUGCCUGUACAUGCAGGCUGUCUGGGUGUCUAAAACACACCCAAAGAAAGGGCCGGGCAAGACCGGUGCCAGCCGCCGCGGUAAUACCGGCGGCUCGAGUGGUGGCCACUUUUAUUGGGCUUAAAGCGUUCGUAGCUGGGUUGUUAAGUCUCUUGGGAAAUCUGGCAGCUUAACUGUCAGGCGUCUAAGAGAUACUGGCAAUCUAGGAACCGGGAGAGGCGAGGGGUACUUCGGGGGUAGGAGUGAAAUCCUGUAAUCCUCGAGGGACCACCUGUGGCGAAGGCGCCUCACCAGAACGGCUUCGACAGUGAGGGACGAAAGCUGGGGGAGCAAACCGGAUUAGAUACCCGGGUAGUCCCAGCCGUAAACGAUGCGCGUUAGGUGUGUCGAUGACCACGAGUCAUCGAGGUGCCGAAGGGAAACCGUGAAACGCGCCGCCUGGGAAGUACGGUCGCAAGGCUGAAACUUAAAGGAAUUGGCGGGGGAGCAC